rnacentral:rRNA from 1 species
AUGAGCUAUGAUGAGCGGUACACACCUUAUGUUAGGGAGGCAGGACUUCUCCCUUUCAUUGAGUUAGUCCGCCGGUCGACGCCACCCAACAAUGCUGCAGCACUCACCACGCUUAUUGAUCAUUGGAGGCCGGAGACACACACUUUCCAUCUUCGGACCGGGGAGAUGACCGUGACGCUACAGGAUAUCGCUAUGAUCACCGGUCUUCCUAUCGAUGGCAAUCCUUUAUGUAUGAACACCGAUUCUGAAGGGUGGCGCGCGCAGAUGCAAGCCCUUAUCGGUAUGGUUCCUCCGGAGCCUCGGGAGCCAGAAAGGGAAGAUAAGAAGAAGGAAAGAGUCGCAGCGAGCGCUACUUUCACGUGGAUAUCAUCGCACUUCGCUCAUUGCCCCGAUGAUGCUAAUGAGGACAUGGUGAAGACUUAUGCUCGUGUCUACAUGUGGUACGUGGUAUCGAGGACAAUGUUUGCUGAUGGCUUUCACAAGGUCAAUGAC